rnacentral:misc_RNA from 1 species
GUGUUCCGAUUAUUUUGUGAUUGCAGGUAUAUUUUUCACAUCAAUUUCUACAUUUAUUUAUUUUUUUCCUGUUUAAUGGUUUGAAAGUCUUGAGCAUUGUGUGUUUUUUCAAUUAUUUCUUAUGCAUUUAAAUUUAUCAAUUUGGUUCACAAAUUAGUAGUUUAAUUUUAAGUGUAUGCAACGAGUCUAGGGCUUGUGUUUGUGCUGAUGUCACAUGAAAAAAAA